GCCUGGAUAGCUCAACUGGUUAAAGCAUGGUGCUGAUAAUGCCAAGGUUGCAGGUUCAAUCCCCAUGUGGGACA